UACGUAGGGUGCGAGCGUUGUCCGGAAUUAUUGGCGUAAAGAGCUCGUAGGCGGUGUGUCACGUCGGCCGUGAAAACCUGCAGCUUAACUGUGGGCGUGCGGUCGAUACGGGCAUCACUGGAGUUCGGCAGGGAGACUGGAAUUCCUGGUGUAGCGGUGAAAUGCGCAGAUAUCAGGAGGAACACCGGUGGCGAAGGCGGGUCUCUGGGCCGUAACUGACGCUGAGGAGCGAAAGCGUGGGGAGCAAACAGG
rnacentral:rRNA from 1 species